AUAGAUGCAGGAAUUUGUUCUCAGGACAUCGGGCAAAAUGGUGGAAUUGUUGUGGGAUUUUGGAAGUCUUUGGUGGUUCAGAGAGAUAGAUGCAGGAGUAUAAAAGUGGAACACCGUCAGGCCAGAAGACAGGUGACAGGAAGGGGGCUGUCCAUGCACACCCACCCAAGAAGGCAGGCAAGACCCCAGCAACCAGCGAGAAGUGGCCCAAGUCUGGAGGGUCGGUCACCUGCAAACAAAGUUACUACAUGGAGACGAGCAUUUUGUUCAGUUAACUGUUUUCCAGAGUUAGUGCGAGCGGAGACGAAGCUAGUAGAAUCAUAUGGG